UGAUGAAAAGUGGCUUCUACUCACCUUUUAGCCCCAGAUCUGGAGGACUAUUUGGGAUCUUUUGCCCAUGUCUCCUCUGCAAGAUAAAUAGGUCUUUAUUCCCUCCACCACUUGGUGAGCUCCUAGGUGCAGGUACGUUGAUGAUUAAUAAGUCAAGUUAAGUGCUAGGGUUGACACAGGCAAGCUUAUUCACUCAACAGUGGGCUGAGCCCCAUGUUCUAGGCACCGCAGCUGCAAGAGUGAACCACGGCAAGAUCACGUUCAUAGAGCUGAAGACGUAUAAUAAACAAAAGCCAUAAUAAAUGGGGAACAGAAUCAGGGGUAUUAGAAGGGGAUGCGUGGUAUGAAAAACAGAGAAAGAGGAGCGUAAGGAGGGUCAGGAGUGGUUGCGGAGAAGGCAGUUGUAAUCUAAAUGGAAUGAUCAGGUGAGGCUUCAUUGAGGUGGGUACAUUUCAGCAAAGACUUGAAAAAAGUGAGGUUGUUGGCCACAGAGAUUCCAGAGGGAGAGCAUCCGAGGCAGAACAAAAUGCGAGUGCAAGAGAAGGUUUCGGAACAGUGAAGUGGUCAGUGGGAGGAAAGUUGAGGCAGCUAUGGAAGGCAGGGUGCGCUGAGGCCAGGGCUGGAGCAGGAAGGGCAGGUCGCAUGGACCCCCUGAGGAUAAGCUCCUUGACUUUUCCUCUGAAUAAAAUGGGAAGCCAUUACUCUCUGUGUGUGUGUGUGUGUGUGUGUGUGUUUCUUUUAAACCUGCUACCUGAAAUAAUGUUUAGGUUUAAAGAAGAGUUGCAAAGAGCAUACAGGUGUUCCCUGUACUCUUCACUCAGCUUUCUCUGCUGUUCACGUUUCUCAUAGCCAUGCUCCAUUGAUCAAAACUAAGAAAUCAACUUGUGUACGAUACUACUCACUAAACUGCGUGCUUUAUUUGGAUUUUCCCAGUUUUCCAUUAAUGAUCU
rnacentral:lncRNA from 10 species